GGGGAAUUUUCCGCAAUGGGCGAAAGCCUGACGGAGCGAUACCGCGUGAGGGAGGAAUGCCUUUGGGUUGUAAACCUCUUUUCUCAGGGAAGAAGAUCUGACGGUACCUGAGGAAUAAGUAUCGGCUAACUCCGUGCCAGCAGCCGCGGUAAUACGGAGGAUGCAAGCGUUAUCCGGAAUCAUUGGGCGUAAAGCGUCCGCAGGUGGUUUCCAAAGUCUGCUGUUAAAGACUGGAGCUCAACUCCGGAACGGCGGUGGAAACUUGGAAACUAGAGUUCGGUAGGGGUAGCAGGAAUUCCCAGUGUAGCGGUGAAAUGCGUAGAUAUUGGGAAGAACAUCGGUGGCGAAGGCGUGCUACUGGACCGCAACUGACACUCAGGGACGAAAGCUAGGGGAGCGAAAGGGAUUAGAUACCCCUGUAGUCCUAGCUGUAAACGAUGGAAACUAGGUGUGGCUUG
rnacentral:rRNA from 1 species